CAAAUGCGAUCAAAGUGUUGCACAGUAACUAAAUAUCUGCAUGUUGCAGACACUGUAAUAAUCAGAGGAAAAAGACAUUUAGUGACUUGAAUGUGGACAAAUGUGCUCCAAUCAAACACAGAGAUGAGCUCAGAGAAAAGUCCUCAGGCUGUGUGAGUCCAUGUAUAAACACAUUAAGUGUCCAACAGGAUAAACAGUGGGACCUGUAAACUAUGUCAGUGUUUGUUGUUCUUCUUCAAACCUUUACAGAUUAGUUUUCAGCUAACUGAAGCUGGCAGACAAACUGUUAACGGAUAUGACUCGUGUCUAACAGUCCCGCGCCUCUCCAACUGUUUCCUUCCUGUGUAAACUUUACUUUCACUUUGAAGGAUGGUGGUGACGCAGCUUGUUUCCUCCACCUGCACCUCCAGCUGAAGAGAGUCUGUGGAGGAGGCGGAGACGAGCCGCUGCUCUGCCGCUGUCUGAGCCUCUUAAGGCGGCUGAGAGCAGCAGGUAGUGUCGGUGAAUGUUCCGUCAGUAGAUUUAUACUACAGGACUGAUGUGGAGACAGCAGGAAGGAGCUUAGCAGGGACUCAACCGGUUGUUUGUCAGCACACACCGAAAAUGUUGAACUGCGUCACAAGCUGGCGCUGCUCCAACAGCUGCUAGAAACGUCAUCACGCUGCAUUCAAGGCCCUCAUGCUGCGUUCACAGGACAAAGUGUGAUAUUCCUUCCUUCGCAUGCAUAGUAAUGGGACUGGUAGCCUGCAUGUGGACAGUUACUUAUUUUUUCCUUUUAUUAUCUGGUUAUUUUGUGAAUGGACAUAUACCUAUUUAUUUACUUUG